GGUGACUGAGAUUCGCACAUGAGCCUACUGAAAAAUGAUCGAAAUCAUCAGUUUAUUCUGUUGACUUAUGGAAGUUCUCGGGAAAAUCCCAGUGGGUCUAUCCGCUCAAGUUUUGAAUAAUUUUCAACAUAUUUUAAAAAAAAUCCUAUCUAUUCAAUAUAAAACUCGUGUUCUAUUUGAUUUAUAUUAUUAAUGGACGAACACGGUGAUUGUUAUACUCGUGGUCACCUGUUGUACAUUUGAAACCGUCAGAACUCAUAGAAAUUACGUUUAUGUAUAACAAAAAAAUAAUAAAAGCAAUAUAAUUAAAGAUAAAAUUUAUAUAAAUCUUUAUUAUUUAUCAACAAAAUAUAACGACCGGCUCGUUAUAACCGAACAUUUGUUAUAGGUAUACAUAAUAUGUGUUACAUAUAUUAUAAACGAAUAAAAAAUGUGUUGUUAUAUUUUCGCUAAGUAAUUUGUAUACUCUUAAAAGUUAAAAAAUGCAAUCAUCAAAUAAACAAACGUUAAAAAAUAAUAUGGUCAGUCUUAUAAUUUCUUUUUCAUCCCAAACCCAACGUGUCCUUAAUACACACAACCAUGACAAUAUUAAAAAUACGGACAUGUUUCACAUAUGGGUUGGCCACUGUUGUAAGUGAGAAGUUGGGAAGAUAGUAGAGGGGAAAUUUAGUAUAUAUUUGUAAAACGCCGUAUCAAACGAUAUUGCUGACCUUGGAAUCGUAAAAUGUAUUGUUGUACGUGUUUAAAUAGGCAUCAUUCAUUUUCUUUGAUAAUAUUUGUUUAAAAUUGUACCUAUUUUCUCGUCUUUCCGUCAUUUUUCCAAUUUAUUGAGAAAACACCAGGGAAAAUCAAAAAAUGAUCUCCCUAAAGUACCUACCUAGCCCUAUUUAUUUUCAGAAAAAGUGCCACACCUAAAAAUCGUUAGAAGAUUUCUAAAAGAACAUUUGUCCACAUUAAAGAAAAAAAUAAACAUAAUUGUAAAAUCAUAAACCUUCUUGGCUCAAUUUAGAAUCUAAAAAAUAAUAAAUUAGCUAAAGGAAAUUAAACGCAUAAUUUCUGUUGUAAUCAAUAUUAAUUGUUAAUAUAUAGAAUAAAGUGCUCACACAGGAAUAUUUUGAUAGUUGUAAUAAUUAUAUAGAAGUAAACACAAUUUAUAAAAAAAAAACCAUUAACCAAAAAUUACAUAAA